rnacentral:rRNA from 1 species
UACGUAGGGGGCAAGCGUUGUUCGGAUUUAUUGGGCGUAAAGGGCUCGUAGGCGGUUUGUCACGUCUGCUGUGAAAUCCCGAGGCUCAACCUCGGGCCUGCAGUGGGUACGGGCAGACUGGAGUGCGGUAGGGGAGAAUGGAAUUCCUGGUGUAGCGGUGGAAUGCGCAGAUAUCAGGAGGAACACCGAUGGCGAAGGCAGUUCUCUGGGCAGUAACUGACGCUGAGGAGCGAAAGCGUGGGGAGCGAACAGG